AUGGACACCAGACUACUCUGCUGUGCGGUCAUCUGUCUUCUGGGGGCAGGUCUCUCAAAUGCCGGCGUCAUGCAGAACCCAAGACACCUGGUCAGGAGGAGGGGACAGGAGGCAAGACUGAGAUGCAGCCCAAUGAAAGGACACAGUCAUGUUUACUGGUAUCGGCAGCUCCCAGAGGAAGGUCUGAAAUUCAUGGUUUAUCUCCAGAAAGAAAAUAUCAUAGAUGAGUCAGGAAUGCCAAAGGAACGAUUUUCUGCUGAAUUUCCCAAAGAGGGCCCCAGCAUCCUGAGGAUCCAGCAGGUAGUGCGAGGAGAUUCGGCAGCUUAUUUCUGUGCCAGCUCACCACC